rnacentral:rRNA from 1 species
GACAGAGGGUGCAAACGUUGUUCGGAAUUACUGGGCGUAAAGCGAGUGUAGGCGGUCUGUAAAGUCGGGUGUGAAAGCCCCGGGCUCAACCCGGGAAGUGCACUCGAAACUCACAGGCUUAGAGUAUCGGAGAGGUUGGUGGAAUUCUCGGUGUAGAGGUGAAAUUCGUAGAUAUCGAGAGGAACACCGGUGGCGAAGGACGGCCAACUGGACGAAUACUGACGCUGAGACUCGAAAGCGUGGGGAGCAAACAGGA